AUUGAACGCUGGCGGCAGGCCUAACACAUGCAAGUCGAGCGGUAGAGAGAAGCUUGCUUCUCUUGAGAGCGGCGGACGGGUGAGUAAUGCCUAGGAAUCUGCCUGGUAGUGGGGGAUAACGCUCGGAAACGGACGCUAAUACCGCAUACGUCCUACGGGAGAAAGCAGGGGACCUUCGGGCCUUGCGCUAUCAGAUGAGCCUAGGUCGGAUUAGCUAGUUGGUGAGGUAAUGGCUCACCAAGGCGACGAUCCGUAACUGGUCUGAGAGGAUGAUCAGUCACACUGGAANUGAGACACGGUCCAGACUCCUACGGGAGGCAGCAGUGGGGAAUAUUGGACAAUNGGNGAAAGCCUGAUCCAGCCAUGCCGCGUGUGUGAAGAAGGUCUUCGGAUUGUAAAGCACUUUAAGUUGGGAGGAAGGGCAGUUACCUAAUACGUAUCUGUUUUGACGUUACCGACAGAAUAAGCACCGGC
rnacentral:rRNA from 1 species